rnacentral:rRNA from 1 species
CUACCUCCAUGACCGGGACAACUGGCCGAAAGGCUUGCUAAUACCGGAUAAGCCCACGGGGUCUUCGGACCUUGAGGGAAAAGGCGGCCUCUGUAUACAAGCUGUCACAAGGAGAUGAGUCCGCGGCCCAUCAGCUAGUUGGCGGGUAAAGCCCACCAAGGCAACGACGGGUAGCUGGUCUGAGAGGAUGAUCAGCCACACUGGAACUGAGACACGGUCCAG